CGCGCCUGACGGUGAGGGACGAAAGCCAGGGGAGCGAACCGGAUUAGAUACCCGGGUAGUCCUGGCCGUAAACGAUGCAUACUAGGCAAUGGUGCGGCCAUGAGCCGCAUCAGUACCGUAGGGAAACCGUUAAGUGUGCCGCCUGGGAAGUACGGUCGCAAGGCUAAAACUUAAAGGAAUUGGCGGGGGAGCACCACAAGGGGUGAAGCCUGCGGUUCAAUUGGACUCAACGCCGGGAAACUUACCAGGGGAGACAGCAGAAUGACAGUCAGGUUGACGACCUUACUCGACGAGCUGAGAGGAGGUGCAUGGCUGUCGCCAGUUCGUGCUGUGAGGUAUCCUGUUAAGUCAGACAACGAACGAGAUCCGCGCCUUUAUUUGCCAUCAAGAAGUCACGACUUCGUUGGGAACACUAAAGGGACCGCCGUCGAUAAGACGGAGGAAGGAGCGGGCAAAGGCAGGUCAGUAUGCCCCGAAACCCCUGGGCUACACGCGGGCUGCAAUGGUGCGAACAAUGGGCUGUAACUCCGAAAGGAGAAACCAAUCCCGAAAUCGCAUCUCAGUGGGGAUUGUCGACUGUAACUCGUUGACAUGAACGUGGAAUCCCUAGUAAUCGCGUGUCACCAUCGCGCGGUGAUACGUCUCUGCU
rnacentral:rRNA from 1 species